UACGUAGGGGGCAAGCGUUGUCCGGAUUUAUUGGGCGUAAAGAGCGUGUAGGCGGCCAUACAGGUCCGUUGUGAAAACUGGAGGCUUAACCUCCAGACGUCGAUGGAAACCGUAUGGCUAGAGUCCGGAAGAGGAGAGUGGAAUUCCUGGUGUAGCGGUGAAAUGCGCAGAUAUCAGGAAGAACACCCGUGGCGAAGGCGGCUCUCUGGGACGGUACUGACGCUGAGGAGCGAAAGCGUGGGGAGCGAACAGGG
rnacentral:rRNA from 1 species